GUGUUAGUGGUAUCUAGGUAGUGAUGGGCGAACAUAGCCUUGUGAAGCUUUUGAAGCUUCUUCCUGAUUGUAUCGCAAAAUGAUCCGAAGCAUCAAAGCAUCGAAACAACACAGUGACAUCUGGUGGUCAGCAGAAAUGACAGCGGCUAUGAAUUCGACACACCCGAACGAAGCUUACAACAUGAACAUGAGGGACA